rnacentral:rRNA from 1 species
UCAGCAUGCCGCGGUGAAUACGUUCCCGGGUCUUGUACACACCGCCCGUCACACCACGAGAGUUUGUAACACCCGAAGUCGGUGGGGUAACCCUUACGGGAGCCAGCCGCCGAAGGUGGGACAAAUGAUUGGGGUGAAGUCGUAACAAGGUAGCCGUAUCGGAAGGUGCGGCUGGAUCACCUCCUUUCUAAGGA